AUUGAACGCUGGCGGCAUGCUUUACACAUGCAAGUCGAACGGUAACAGGCCGCAAGGUGCUGACGAGUGGCGAACGGGUGAGUAAUGCAUCGGAACGUGCCCAGUCGUGGGGGAUAACGCAGCGAAAGCUGUGCUAAUACCGCAUACGAUCUAUGGAUGAAAGCGGGGGACCGUAAGGCCUCGCGCGAUUGGAGCGGCCGAUGGCAGAUUAGGUAGUUGGUGGGGUAAAGGCUCACCAAGCCAACGAUCUGUAGCUGGUCUGAGAGGACGACCAGCCACCCUGGGACUGAGACACGGCCAUGACUCCUACGGGAGGCAGCAGUGGGGAAUUUUGGACAAUGGGCGCAAGCCUGAUCCAGCAAUGCCGCGUGCAGGAAGAAGGCCUUCGGGUUGUAAACUGCUUUUGUACGGAACGAAAAGGUUUGGGUUAAUACCCUGGGCCGAUGACGGUACCGUAAGAAUAAGCACCGGCUAACUACGUGCCAGCCGCCGCAGUAA
rnacentral:rRNA from 1 species